UCCUGGUAAGCUCAAUUGGUAAAGCGCUCCACUCGAAAUGGAGGGGUACCUGAUUUGAUACCAGGACGAGGCG
rnacentral:tRNA from 1 species